rnacentral:rRNA from 1 species
UACGUAGGUGGCAAGCGUUAUCCGGAAUUAUUGGGCGUAAAGCGCGCGCAGGUGGUUUCUUAAGUCUGAUGUGAAAGCCCACGGCUCAACCGUGGAGGGUCAUUGGAAACUGGGAGACUUGAGUGCAGAAGAGGAAAGUGGAAUUCCAUGUAGUAGCGGUGAAAUGCGUAGAGAUAUGGAGGAACACCAGUGGCGAAGGCGAC